rnacentral:rRNA from 1 species
AUGCAGUCGAGCGGUAGCACAGAGAGCUUGCUCUCGGGUGACGAGCGGCGGACGGGUGAGUAAUGUCUGGGAAACUGCCUGAUGGAGGGGGAUAACUACUGGAAACGGUAGCUAAUACCGCAUAACGUCGCAAGACCAAAGUGGGGGACCUUCGGGCCUCAUGCCAUCAGAUGUGCCCAGAUGGGAUUAGCUAGUAGGUGGGGUAAUGGCUCACCUAGGCGACGAUCCCUAGCUGGUCUGAGAGGAUGACCAGCCACACUGGAACUGAGACACGGUCCAGACUCCUACGGGAGGCAGCAGUGGGGAAUAUUGCACAAUGGGCGCAAGCCUGAUGCAGCCAUGCCGCGUGUAUGAAGAAGGCCUUCGGGUUGUAAAGUACUUUCAGCGAGGAGGAAGGCAUUAAGGUUAAUAACCUUAGUGAUUGACGUUACUCGCAGAAGAAGCACCGGCUAACUCCGUGCCAGCAGCCGCGGUAAUACGGAGGGUGCAAGCGUUAAUCGGAAUUACUGGGCGUAAAGCGCACGCAGGCGGUCUGUUAAGUCAGAUGUGAAAUCCCCGGGCUCAACCUGGGAACUGCAUUUGAAACUGGCAGGCUCGAGUCUUGUAGAGGGGGGUAGAAUUCCAGGUGUAGCGGUGAAAUGCGUAGAGAUCUGGAGGAAUACCGGUGGCG